AUUGAACGCUGGCGGCAGGCCUAACACAUGCAAGUCGAGCGAGCGGCGGACGGGUGAGUUAUGUCUGGGACACUGCCUGAUGGAGGGGGAUCACUACUGGACACGGUAGCUACUACCGCAUACCCUCAGAUGUGCCCAGAUGGGAGUAGCUAGUGGGUGGGGUAAUGGCUCACCUAGGCGACGAUCCCUAGCUGGUCUGAGAGGAUGACCAGCCACACUGGAACUGAGACACGGUCCAGACUCCUACGGGAGGCAGCAGUGGGGAAUAUUGCACAAUGGGCGCAAGCCUGAUGCAGCCAUGCCGCGUGUGUGAAGAAGGCCUUAGGGUUGUAAAGCACUUUAAGCGAGGAGGCGUUACUCGCAGAAGAAGCACCGGCUAACUCCGUGCCAGCAGCCGCGGUAAUAC
rnacentral:rRNA from 1 species